GGGGCCCGGCUUCCUUCGACCUCGGACUUUCGGCUUCGACCCUCGCCAGGGAAUCCCUUAAACAUCCGACUUCUGCUUCCAAUUCUCUCUCUCUCAUUAAUAUCUCCAUGUAUCUUCGAUGAUAUCGCUGGCUUUCGCUCUCCGCCUCUCGAUGCCUUUUUCUCAGGACCUCAGAUUCUGCCUCCGCAUCCUUGACGGCCUGCUGCUCACAUGCCAGCUGGAUCUUCAAUUGCUGCAGCUC
rnacentral:lncRNA from 1 species